GGCGACAUGACCGAGUGGUAAAGUGAAGGACUGCGAAUCCUUUUUCUCCAGUUCAAAUUCAAGUGUUGCCU
rnacentral:tRNA from 1 species